CAGUCGCCGCGGUAAUACGUAGGUCCCGAGCGUUGUCCGGAUUUAUUGGGCGUAAAGCGAGCGCAGGCGGUUAGAUAAGUCUGAAGUUAAAGGCUGUGGCUUAACCAUAGUACGCUUUGGAAACUGUUUAACUUGAGUGCAAGAGGGGAGAGUGGAAUUCCAUGUGUAGCGGUGAAAUGCGUAGAUAUAUGGAGGAACACCGGUGGCGAAAGCGGCUCUCUGGCUUGUAACUGACGCUGAGGCUCGAAAGCGUGGGGAGCAAACAGGACUAGAUACCCCGGUAGUCCCUGUCUCUUAUACC
rnacentral:rRNA from 1 species